rnacentral:rRNA from 1 species
UACGUAGGGGGCAAGCGUUGUCCGGAUUUAUUGGGCGUAAAGGGCUCGUAGGCGGCCAACUAAGUCAGACGUGAAACCCCUCGGCUUAACCGGGGAACUGCGUCUGAUACUGGAUGGCUUGAAUCCGGGAGAGGGAUGCGGAAUUCCAGGUGUAGCGGUGAAAUGCGCAGAUAUCAGGAGGAACACCGGUGGCGAAGGCGGUGGUCUGGGCCGGCACUGACGCUGAGGAGCGAAAGCGUGGGUAGCAAACAGG